rnacentral:rRNA from 1 species
UACGUAGGGUGCAAGCGUUAAUCGGAAUUACUGGGCGUAAAGCGUGCGCAGGCGGUUUUGUAAGUCUGUCGUGAAAAUCCCCGGGCUCAACCUGGGAAUUGCGAUGGAGACUGCAAGGCUAGAAUCUGGCAGAGGGGGUAGAAUUCCACGUGUAGCAGUGAAAUGCGUAGAGAUGUGGAGGAAUACCGAUGGCGAAGGCG